rnacentral:tRNA from 1 species
GGAAAUGUGGCUUAGUGGUAGAGUUCUUGCCUAGCAUGCAAGAAGUUCUUGCCUAGCAUGCAAGAAACCCUGGGUUCGAUUCCUCUUUACCA